GUCGACCGCCUGGGGAGUACGGCCGCAAGGUUAAAACUCAAAUGAAUUGACGGGGGCCCGCACAAGCGGUGGAGCAUGUGGUUUAAUUCGAUGCAACGCGAAGAACCUUACCUGGUCUUGACAUCCACAGAACUUUCCAGAGAUGGAUUGGUGCCUUCGGGAACUGUGAGACAGGUGCUGCAUGGCUGUCGUCAGCUCGUGUUGUGAAAUGUUGGGUUAAGUCCCGCAACGAGCGCAACCCUUAUCCUUUGUUGCCAGCGGUCCGGCCGGGAACUCAAAGGAGACUGCCAGUGAUAAACUGGAGGAAGGUGGGGAUGACGUCAAGUCAUCAUGGCCCUUACGACCAGGGCUACACACGUGCUACAAUGGCGCAUACAAAGAGAAGCGACCUCGCGAGAGCAAGCGGACCUCAUAAAGUGCGUCGUAGUCCGGAUUGGAGUCUGCAACUCGACUCCAUGAAGUCGGAAUCGCUAGUAAUCGUGGAUCAGAAUGCCACGGUGAAUACGUUCCCGGGCCUUGUACACACCGCCCGUCACACCAUGGGAGUGGGUUGCAAAAGAAGUAGGUAGCUUAACCUUCGGGAGGGCGCUUACCACUUUGUGAUUCAUGACUGGGGUGAAGUCGUAACAAGGUAACCGUAGGGGAACCUGCGGUUGGAUCAC
rnacentral:rRNA from 1 species